AUUUUGGUUAUGAAGGGAAAUAGUAGAAAUGAUGAUGCCUACAGAGAGUGAAAUCCAUUGGCUGGAAGAUUUCACAGGAUAUAUGCAUUUCGAACCCGUCCCAGAGCUUAUGACGAAUAAUAAGUCAUACGGUUGCGAUACCGUUAUCAUCGCUAAGAGGGAAUCUAGUAGUUGAUACUAGAUUAAUUAGAGUGGUACCGCGAGAAUACCUUCGUCUCUAAA
rnacentral:ncRNA from 1 species